rnacentral:rRNA from 1 species
CAGCGCCAUGAGUAGCAAUCAGAAUUAUUGGGCCUAAAGCGUCCGUAGCCGGUUUAAUCAGUCUUUUGUGAAAUCGUUGGGCUUAACUUAACGUUGUGCAAGAGAUACUGUUAAACUUGAAACCGGGAGGAGUCAGAGGUAUUCUGGGGGGAGCGGUAAAAUGCUAUAAUCCCCGGAGGACCGCCUGUGGCGAAAGCGUCUGACUAGAACGGCUUUGACGGUGAGGGAUGAAAGCUGGGGGAGCAAACCGGAUUAGAUACCCGUGUAGUCC